CGGGGGGAGCAAGCGUUGUUCGGAUUUACUGGGCGUAAAGGGCGCGUAGGCGGCCACCGCAAGUCGACUGUGAAAUCUCCGGGCUUAACCCGGAAAGGUCAGCCGAUACUGCGGGGCUAGAGUGCAGAAGGGGCAACUGGAAUUCUCGGUGUAGCGGUGAAAUGCGUAGAUAUCGAGAGGAACACCUGCGGCGAAGGCGGGUUGCUGGGCUGACACUGACGCUGAGGCGCGAAGGCUAGGGGAGCGAACGGGAUUAGAUACCCCGGUAGUCCUAGCCUUAAACGAUGAAUGCUUGGUGUCUGGGGUUUUAUAGUCCCCGGGUGCCGUCGCUAACGCUUUAAGCAUUCCGCCUGGGGAGUACGGUCGCAAGACUG
rnacentral:rRNA from 1 species